CGGCUUCUCGAAGCGGCGGCCGUGUGCGGGGCCAUCGUGGGCGGCGGUGGAGACGCCGAGGUGGAGAGAAUCCGGAGAUACGCGCGCUGCGUCGGGCUGCUCUUCCAGGUGGUGGACGACAUCCUGGACGUAACGAAGACGUCGGAGGAGCUCGGCAAGACGGCGGGGAAGGACCAGGCGAGAGACAAGACAACGUACCCCAAGCUGCUUGGCCUCGACAAGGCCCGGGAGUUCGCGCAGACGCUGAUGCGCAAGGCGAUGGACGAACUCGCGGGGUUCGAACGCCUCCGUGCCGCGCCGCUCUAUCAUCUCGCCCACGACAUAGCCAACCGGC
rnacentral:lncRNA from 1 species